UCUUCUUCAACCUGGAUUAUUUUUUUUUUGAAAGGGAGGACACUUAAAAAAAAUUCUGCUUUAAAAAAAAUUCUGCUUGUUUUUCUGGCUACAAUUCGAUUAGAGAGGGAGAAGAGAAUUGUUGCAUGCUAAAUUUUGAGCUCGUUUAGAAGCUAAUUUUCCUCAAGAAACUUGCAAAAAGGGGAAGGAGAAGGCAGCGGCAAAGGGGAAGAGAUCUUACUCAAGGUUAUGGUUGACUUCGAGUUUCUGUGAGUCCUCUAUACAUUUUUCUUUCUUGAUUGCUUUGUUACACUUUCAUGCUGGUAUGAAUGUAUAAAUCCAAGGAAAAUUUUGGUGGAAUGCAUGUUGUCGAGGGAGCUGCUUAUGCAUGCAGUUUUUUUUUAAGCAGGCUAUUAAAUUUCUUCGCCAGAAAAAGGUGGUUCGGUUGGUGGUGAUCUAUGCUAUCCAAAGUUUUUUUUAUAAUGUUGUUCAAUUGAGCAUAAAUAGAUGAGGUCUGAAUAAUGGGAAUUAAGUGGUUUAAAUGUCAGUUUAUGAUGUCCAAAAAGGAUGUGAAUUUAUGAUGUCCGGAAUUUGUUAUUUAAGGUGUUUAAAUGCUACCAUGUACAACGUCUGUAGGCUGUAAGGGAUGGUUAAAUGAUGCCAUUCAUGAUGUUGGGAGUUAAAGAUUGAAGGUGUCCAAAGGCUAUAACUUUAGUUUGUCUAAAUGAGCUUGAAAUUUAUUUAAUACACGACAUUAUGAGUGUUUGUUGCUGUCCAGAGCAAGACAAAAAUUAAUUGUAAAAUUUUUGAUUAAUGCCCUCUUUGGUGGAUUCAUUAUUACUGUCCAUGUAAGAGUAAUUAAAUAUUGGUGCCUAUUGAAAUGUAAUGUUGUACUUGUGUACAAUACUGACCAAUUUAAAGAGAAAUUAAAAGUACAAUACUGUCCAUGUUAGCUGCAUGUUUGUUGCCCGAGCCAGGCCUUAUAUGUGAGAAUUGAAGUAAAUUUAAUAAAACUUCCCAAACUAAUGAAGGAGGACCGAAUUUGAAGAGGUAGUGAAAAUUGUGGAGAGUUGAAUAUGUUUAAAUUUGUUGAGUAGUUGAACUGCUACAGGCUGGAAUAUGGAGAAAUUAUUGGAGGUUAAAAGCUAACUUUGGCCACUGUCCGAAUUCUAGACUUCAGUAUUAAUUUCCAUGUUUAAAGACUUGUAAACUUGCUGGAAAUUUGGAGUGUUAGAUGUUGUAUUUUAUGUUGCCGAGUGCUGAAAUUUGAGGCAUUUAAAUGCUGCAAAUUAUGAGGUUCGGAAGUUGGAAAUUGAGGUAAUUAGAUGCUGCAAUUUACCAUGUCUGAAAGCUGAAAUUUGAGGUGCUAAUUAUACGCUGUAACUAUUAAUGCCUUAGGUUGAAGUUAAAAAACAAAAAUGUAAUAGCUACAAUUAUGAUGUUCUGAAGCUGUAAUUAGACUAAAUAUUAAUGUCGUAAACUGAAAUUAAAAGGGGUAGUAGUUAUAAUUGAGAUGUUAUGCUGUUGCAUCUAGAUUAAAAUGUAAGUAAUUAUGUUGUCUUAAACAUUAUCUGAAGGGGAGUAAUUAUCGUAUAUUAAACCGUCUUUACAAUGAAAUUGUGAUAUCUUAACGCGACAAGUUGAAAGGAGUUUAUACCUGUAAUUUAUUGUGCUUUGGUGUUGUAAUUAAAAAUGUAUAACUUUGGGUUUGAUAUUGAUUAUGCGUCGUUAUUGCGUAAACUGAGUUUAAUUGCAUGUCCAAAGUUGGAUAAUUCCAUGUAAUUUGGUUGGACUAAUAUUUAUACCUUAAUUGAGUUUAAAUUUAUGUCCCAAGCUAGUAAAUUUCAUUUUAUAUGGUUGGAAUUAAUAUAUGCUAUGAUCGAAGUUUAGUUGUGAUCCAAAAUUGGACAACUUCAUAUUUUUUGGUUGGACUAAAUAAUUGAUUUGGUUUAAAUUUGGUUGCUAUCCAAGAGCUGGAGUUUUUCAUGUUAUUCAAUGGUGGCGAAGUACAAUGUAACGACCUAGAUUUCUCAAAAAGAAAGGAAAGACAAAACCGUGGACGAAUGGUUCGGAAUGUACGGUUUGUGUUCUAAAUUUGAAUUACUUCGUUUGCUGCAUUUAUGAGUUGUAUUGCAAGGUAAGAUCUUAAUGAGAGCUGAAAAUGAUUAAAAAGGGGCUGAAUUGUUUCGAUACGGAAUGGUUGCGUACGAUGAGGAUUAAAUUGAAUAAUUGUGGAAAUAUUGUAUAUUGAUAUAAAUAUGAAAUAUGAUCUGUUCUGAAAUGUGGGAUAUUUUUACGUAUAUGUAUUGAUGGAUACUAGAUUAAUUAAUGGUAUUAAUUUGGAAAAAUUGUUUAUGAAGGAGAUUGAAACAGGGAU
rnacentral:lncRNA from 1 species